CUCGGCCACUCAUCCUCCUUAUCCUCGUCGGUCUCCUUGUUGAGACGCCCACCGUUGUUGCUCUCAAAUGUGAAAUGGCUCGAGUGGAGGCAGUGGCAUGGCUUGCUCAGCAGCAGCAGGAGUCGAAGCAACCAAAGACUUGCCUAAUGUGAUAAGGAAGAAAAAGACUUCAAUAUGACCAAAGAUUGGCAGAGUAUUUGUGUGUGUCAUUAGUGAAAAAGGUUCUAAAAUCGCGCAUGGCCAACAGUAAGACGGUUGGCCCUCUCUUAUAUGAGGUUGAUUGCCACCGUCGUCACAGCCGCAGACUAGGUAGAAGAGGGCCGUUGAACACGUUGGACACCCGGCUCCACGCCGACAGUCACCAUUGCCUCGAAUUCCUCGCUCUUCUGGCUGUUAAAUCUAAAGUUGUAAUACCGCCAAUGAGCCUCGACGACGCCGUGCAUUGGUUGCCCGUUGUUGCCGUAGCCCAAGAACUCCAGUCUAGUCGACACCAUCGUCGCCGUCGUCGUCGUCGGAACUUGCCACCCGUGGCUGGCCCUGUCGAAAUCGUGGUCGCUCCUGGAGUAGUGAGGAGUGACUUGCCCUAGAUCGUCAACUUUCACCUUAGAAUAUCAUCUCCAACCUUGGUCGAGUUCUUCAUCUGCGAGGAGACGAGGAGCGACCGGGCGAGAUAGGCAACACAUCAACCACUAUUCUUGCAACUAUCACCCUUGAAGGAAGGCUGUACGGCUAUCCGGUUCGAGCAUCAAGAACGAGACCAGGAGCGACAGAAAGAGCGACAGACAGAGCAGCGGCAGCAACAACGACAACAACGGGUUGACAAUUGGCACACUUCGCAAGUUACAAACUGGGCAACUGCUAACGAUCGGGGAACAACAACUCGGCCUCUUGACAGUACCAGAAGACAAAUAAGUUGGCACCGGUCUCAUCCGUUUCCUUUUCUUCUGCCACAAGCACCAAGACCACGGCUGGGACGGAAACGACAGCGUUAUUAUCGUCAUUACUGUGAAGAUUAUCAGUCGACCAACAACUACAACUGGGGAAGGGAUCGUCCAGAGCAAACGUAACUCGAGCUAAAAAGGGCUAUCAAUAUUCCGAAGAAAGCGAUGCAUCCAAGAGCAUUGGCAGUCUCAGCUCACGUUGUCCCAGCCAAUCCAAUGAGCAGCCGCCUAUUGGAAGUGCUUCGAUCUAGCUCCACAUCCUUGACUAUUGUCUCCAUGGCAUGGUGUCCCUUGUACACCGACGGCUAAGAACCACCACCACCACCACCCAAGCGACGACCCAGCCAGCCAACCCGACGGGCAGAGGCGUGUCCAAAUUGUGACACGCCCAGAUUUGCUCCCCUCGUGUCCAUCCAACCCAGUAUGGACAAGGGGUCUUCCUCCAUUCGCUAUGAUAACAUCACUAGUAACACCGCUCCACAAGUUGCCAUUCCCCCAACCACCACUGGAACAACAACGGCCACGGCCACUGCCGCUGCCACCGCUGCUGUUGUCAUUCCAGUCUGCUCCAUUAUCGCCACGAACACCACCAGCUCCAUUUCGAUAUCAGCCGCCCCUGCUGUUGCCGGCAUCACUGUUGAUCAGUCCAAUGCUCCUCCAACAGGGCGACCCAGUUCAGCCUCUGCGGCUGCUCACACCACAGCCGCCACCACCUCCGCACCGGUCACCACAACCACCGUUGCCAUCCCAAGCCAUCACCCAGCGUCCUCCUCCUCCACCUCAACCAGCAUGCCGGCUUCGUCCACAACAUCAUUGGUCACCUCUUCGUCGUCGGGCACAUCGACCUCUAACAAAAACAUAUCCUUUCGCCCUGCCGUGUUCGACAAGCUUGAACAGCUUGUUAAGGACAUGCAAGAUGACCGACACGGUGUCCCGGUUAGGAGCCAAAAGCUAUUCCUAACAUCCAUUCCAGCCGCUUUUAUGGGGUAUGAUUUAAUCGAGUGGCUCAUGGAUCGAUUGAGCAUUGAAGAUUCAUUGGAAGCCGUUCAUCUGGCCAACCUGCUCUGCCAGUUCGGGUAUUAUUUCCCCGUGAAUGAACUCAAGAAUCUGAUUGUGAAGGAUGACAGCUCCCUUUAUCGAUUCCAAACACCCUAUUACUGGCCUUCCCAACAUCACACACCGGACAAUAUCGAGUAUGCCAUAUAUUUGGCCAAGCGAUCCCAAAGGAACAAGCAAAAACAUGGUCUUGAGGAUUACGAAGUGGAGGCUUACAACAACCUGAAGAAGAUCUUAGCCAGUAAAUGGGACUUUGUUACUAUGCAAGCAGAGGAACAGGUGAAAAUCAAUAAGGAUCGAAAGAAGGGAGAGAAGAUCGUGACUGACAGUCAGGAGAAGGCCUACUGGAGGGUGUACCGACCUCCUCCUGGGUUCACGACAGUGGUGGAAUCGUCUCCAGUUCCAACCCGAGAGCAACGAAUCAAGGCGAGGAGUCGAACCCGGGAGCAUUUGACUGAGGAGCUCGAGUUCUUAAGGAAUUAUUGCGCUACCAGCCGGACGAAAGUGUCAGUGGUUGUAGAGAGUCUGAUUGAUCAUACUGAUGUGUUCUGUGAGUUCGACGCCAUCCUAAACGGGGUUGGUCCUUCGAACCCUUGGAUCACUGACGACCAGACUUACUGGAUGCUGAACAUGCCAUUUGCUGAAUGCCCUACGGAGAAAAGGGUGAGGAAGUGGUCCAUUUCCUUGGAAGAUCUAGCCAUCGACUCUCUUGGUAUUCAAGAGUUAAUGUGCUUCAUGAAGAGAGAGUAUUCCCACGAAAAUCUGCGAUUUUGGCUCAGUGUUCAAGAACUCCGAUGUGGCCCUGGUUCAGAAGCGAAGAUCAAGAAGAAAGUCAAGGAGAUCUGGGACGAGUUCUUAGCCCCUGGUGCUAAAGCUGAGAUCAACAUCGAUAGCAAGACAAUGGAAGCUACACGCCAAUCCAUGAAAACCCCAAGUCGCUACGUGUACGAAGAGGCUGCCGAGCAUGUCUACACAUUGUUACUCAAAAAGGAUUGCUAUCCGAGGUUUGUGAGGUCUGAUCACUACAAAGCACUCAUGGCCAAUUCCAUCAAUCCUGGCAAUCAAAAGAAAAGGUUUACGUUCACGUUCAAUGUCAAGAAGAAACCUUCCAUUCAACCACCUGGAGUGCAAUCGGGAACCACUCUCACACAGACUGGCACAUCAUCUAAUCCAAAAAUGACCUUUGAAGACUGCAAUAUUUUUGGUGCUGAUGGCUCUGAAGACCCUACCUUGCAACAUCAACAUACGAGCAGUAGCAAUCCAAAUCUAACAUGCAAUAGCAGGGUUCCAUCUCACGAAGCCGACGAUUCUGUAUGUCCUUGGGAAAUUGCCAAUGAACCACCGCCCACCACCUCCGGUCAGAGCUCUCAGGAUGGCACAGGGGAUGAAAAUAGAAGUUCUACCCUGCCUAGACAAUCUAAUAUAUCUCCUCGAGGAGGACGGCUUAGUAGUACCUCAGACAACAACGCCUCGGCAGGCACAUCUCCAAAUCCCCACAGUUCGUCAUUAACUCAUCAAAGGUCAGCGUCGCCCCAGUCUCAGCAUUCUCACAGUCAUCGGACAAGGGAGUUGACCCGUGAAUCCAGUCGGUCGUCUCGAAGCGGGCGAGGCACUAGUGGCGGGGUGGACACUACCUCGACCACCAGUAGCCAUCAUCACCGUCAUCAUGAGCACUACCAUCAUCAUGAGCAUCAUCAUGCCUCGAAACGAGCUAAAUCGAAAAGCAAGCGCAAGAAAUCCAGGGGAAGCAUGCGGCCCCAAGGAGCGGGCUCUUCCGGGGUCAGCACGGCUUCAACGGCCUGUGGUCCCGACAAGGAAAACCUGGGUCUCUCCACCACUGCGGAGAUGUUGGCUGCAGGAACGGCAGCUCUCAUGUCGACUGCGGCGGGGGAGGAUUUGGCUAAACAGCAGCCAAGUGAGAUCUUGCUAGGAUCGAUUGCCAUGGGAACCGCCGUGGCCACUGCCACCGCCUUGGUGACGAGCGACACGGAGCUAACGGGCACAAGCACGAUGACCACAAAUGUGAGCAAUGCCAUCAUCAGCUCUCGGAACUCGCCGUUGAUAACUUCGGUGUCCGUGGAUCUCAGCUCGGCACCCUCGCUGACAAGCUCAAAAUGCACACAGACAAAACUAGAUGAACGAGGGGUGCCUCUGCCUGUGGUAACUGGUCCGACAGGUGCUUCCACGCUACUGCCCACGUUACCAUCUCCAAAGCUAGUGGAACGAAUGGAAGUUGAACCGGAUGGCAAUACCAAUGCCCCAGUGAUAUCCUCGGAAGGGGGCCACUCACCUGGCCGACUGCGAUCUUCCGGACCAACGGCUCGACCCCACGGUCCGGUCUCCUCUCUCUCAUUAGACAUGCCCCCAAGUGAUAGUGGACAAGCCCUGAGCUCCGAGGGAAUGACCUCCAAGAAAGUGGGCGAUGGAAAUGGCGCCACCACUGGAGGGGCCACUGCGGGAGGAACCUCUUGGACCACCUCAACCGAGGUGUGCCCCUGGGAGGACGAUACCCUAACACCAACUUGGCUCUAGCGUUUGCUUUGUGCUGCCUCUGCAAUUUCCACGGCUUUACUUCUCCCACACUAAGUGUCCUGCAUUGAUUUACCCGCCCAUCUCUACUACAACUACCCUCGACCCCACUAUCUCUCUCUCGCUCUAUCUCUACUACCCCUUCACCCACCUAGUUGAAUCUCAUCUGAAAUUGCGCACACUUUUUUGAGUUUUGGCGCAGAAGCAUUAGCAGCAGCAGCAAUUCAAUCCAAGUGUUGUGCCAUUUCAGGGCUAACCAAAAGAAGGAGAGCCACCCCCCAUUCGUGAAGACUUACGCUACACUCGGAUAUCUAUGAGCCCCAGCGAAACAGCUCAACACCCAAAAAUCCAUUCUCGCAAGCAACUUCAGGAACCCCAAAAUCAGAUUCGGACGAUUAAAGCAGCUUUGCAAAUUCAUUUUUUGACGGAAUCAGAGCAAAUAUCACAGGAAUCAAGCCCUCAUAAUCCGGAACAAGUUUGGCCCUAUGGCGAUGUUCCGAUCUCAAAAUUCGACGCUCACUCCAACGUUUGACUGGCCUCUCUCAGUCUCUUACUAAUUCUCUUUCAUCGUUAUCACCAACGCUUCAAUUCUUUCCUUAACCCUCAUCAACCGAGUCGAGUUUCCGGUUUAUCUGGCCCUUCAAUGCCGCUCUCACGGUUAUAUUUCUUGGGGAUGAUUGGUUCUUCGGCCUACGUCGGGUGAAAUCCAGAAAGUGUUUCAGGUAGUGGGGGGAAAACUCCGAUUCUCUCGUUUUCCUUGAGUCACGAAGAAGAGCAACUAUCCAUCCAUCAUCUUCAUCUGAGAUGAUAUCAGUGUUGUUGUCGUAGUGAUGGCUAAAAAAAGACCGAUUCUCUCUAACCUCUCUCUAAACACAAAAUAUCUUUGAUAAAAAACAAACGUGGUCAACGUGUUAUUGUGACAGUGUUGCUAUACGAUUAUGCUACUGCUAUUCCGACUUUUCUUACUUCUACUUCAACUAUCACUACUUCGACUCCUCUGACCUCAACUGCAAGAAAAAAACAUCAACUUCAAUUGCUUGAAGGAAGUUGACUAACGCCAAUAACUAUUUCUAAUCCAACCACAACUGCUGUAACUCCUACUCCAACUAUCAACCUUCACUCUUUCGACUUCAACUACAACAAGAGUUGUAAUAAGAGCAACAACAAAAACUACUUCUAUUCCCAUUACUACUUCCAAAAAAUUACGACUUGGACUAAAACUGCUAUUACGUCUAGCACAACAACUUAACUCUAAAUACUAGAACUACAACUUCACCCCACAACAACAAAAACAACACUUACAAAACUUCUGUUACUAACCUUCAAAAGCUUUUGUGUAAAAACAAAGUCAAUUGAAAAUGUCAACUACCGCAUCUACUAACCCCCACAAAUAUUCUGCACAUCAAAUUCAGAUCAACUUUGCUUGCUUUUUUGACCACAUCCUGAUCCUUGAAAAUUGUCAAUCCCGACUUUCCUAACCCAGAAAUUUGAUGCAUUUUUGCCCCAUCCAAAUUAUCGCUUGGUCACUCUCUUUCGCUUCGAGCAAUUGGCUUUUGCUAAGGCGCACUUCACUUCACUUGCCAUAGUCAAGAAUCAUGAUCUAGUCAAUGCAUUUGUAACAUGCACAGUUUUGAACCUCUCCCCAUCCCUACCUACUUCUACGUAGAUUGCACAAAUGAAUGCUCCGGAAAAGGGUAUACUGUACGCUCUGGCAAACUUUGGUUCUUGCCAUUUCUGUACAACUACUGGCCCUCUCCACCCCCCACCCCCCACGGAAUACCUAAUCAACCCCCAAAACCCAGUCUGAAAUGGUUUUGAGUUCCUUAUGUCUGUAGAGCCACGUUUGGCAGUAAAACAAAAACAAAACAAAAAGGUCAAAAAGGUUGCAAAAAACGGCAUCCCUGCUUCGACCAAUCGGUUCCAAAAUAGGAGUGGAGUUAAAGGCAAGUAAAACAAGGGUUGAACACGUGUUUGGGGUCACUAUCCAAUCUACCCGAGUUCAAAUUCGCCAAAAUCUUGACGUAUUAGAAUCAAUGCCAUGGUUUAAGUCAUUUUUCAGCACUAGAUGAUUCAGUAUUUUACUUAAGUAUUCAAAGAUUGAUGUUAGUCCCUAAGCUGUAAGACAAAUUGAGGUUACACGAACACCAAAUCGAGGGAAUUCUACUCUGGACCCUCCCAAGGCAUUUCAAUAUUUGAUUCCUUCUACGAUAACGAACUUCUCAGAGCCCCUUGAAGGUCGCCGUAAAGCUGGAUUUUGAAUAACUUGGACAGGAACCUGAAUGGAACUCCACUCUAAUCAUUGCUUCAUAAAACAAUUACUGUGCGUUUCAAAUGAGUGAGAGUGUACAUCUGAAUGACUUUUAUGUCCAGCCUUUUUGACUAAGAAUCAACCUCCCACAUUUAUGUCUUCAAAGUUUCCCUCGAAAGUCUAAGACCAUUAACAACUUAACAUUCUGAUCAAUUUGGAGACAAAAAAAUGUAGGUAGUCGAAUCUUGAUCCCCUUUUACAACUGUCCCUGCAAGACAAAUGCGAUUGCAUGUUCUGCUUAUUAUAUGUCCUUGAUGUUCAAACAAAAAACAGCACGAAAAUCCUACACAAAAUACCAUUAAAAAAGUAUUCAAUCUCUCAUGAUAUUUUUGGAUGACUUUUUGUCUACAACUAAGUCAUCUUGAUUGCCAUUUUUUCAUCUACCAUCUACGCAAAGUAACUUACCUUGCACCACAAAUGAAUCAUGACUUAAAACCACAUGUUGAUUUUAAAACGUUCAAAUCUUUAACUAAACGACCUGCCCAGGUUAUUUUGAGCCCCCAAAAGGUGAAGAUGAUAGGGUGGUUUUGAAGUUGCCUCAGAUAUGUCUUCAAGUUUUUGUUCUAAAACCAUCAGUGAACCAGCAAGCAGGGAAAGGUUGCCAACAAAAAACAUACAUACGAUACCAAAACCAUGAUAACUAACCCUAUUAGGGAAAUUUAUUCCCACACCCCUUCUGAGUCAGCUCCCCCCAAGAUUUCGUUUCAGUAAAAGAACCUCGAUCAUAUUUAUCAAUAUUAUAACGUUACUACUAGAAAUUUGUCAUGAAUAUUGAAUUAUGAACAAAAACUUGAAUGUUGUACAUAGAAACGGAAAUAAAUGUUUAUUAAACUU